GAUGAACGCUGGCGGCGUGCUUAACACAUGCCAGUCGAACGGAAAGGCCCAAGCUUGCUUGGGUACUCGAGUGGCGAACGGGUGAGUAACACGUGGGUGAUCUGCCCUGCACUUCGGGAUAAGCCUGGGAAACUGGGUCUAAUACCGGAUAGGACCACAUUUUGGAUGGUGUGGUGGAAAGUUUUUCGGUGUGGGAUGAACUCGCGGCCUAUCAGCUUGUUGGUGGGGUAAUGGCCUACCAAGGCGUCGAUGGGUAGCCGGCCUGAGAGGGUGUACGGCCACAUUGGGACUGAGAUACGGCCCAGACUCCUACGGGAGGCAGCAGUGGGGAAUAUUGCACAAUGGGCGCAAGCCUGAUGCAGCGACGCCGCGUGGGGGAUGAUGGCCUUCGGGUUGUAAACUCCUUUCGCUAGGGACGAAGCGCAAGUGACGGUACCUGGAGAAGAAGCACCGGCUAACUACGUG
rnacentral:rRNA from 1 species